rnacentral:rRNA from 1 species
GAGGACGACCAGCCACACUGGAACUGAGACACGGUCCAGACACCUACGGGUGGCAGCAGUCGAGAAUUUUUCUCAAUGGGCGCAAGCCUGAAGGAGCGACGCCGCGUGGGGGAUGAAGGGCUUCGGCUCGUAAACCCCUGUCAUUUGCGAACAAUUCUGUUGGUCGAAUAAGCCAGCAGUUGAUAGUAGCAAAAGAGGAAGGGACGGCUAACUCUGUGCCAGCAGCCGCGGUAAUACAGAGGUCCCAAGCGUUGUUCGGAUUCACUGGGCGUAAAGGGUGCGUAGGCGGUAAGGUAAGUUUGGUGUGAAAUCUCCAGGCCUAACCUGGAAACUGCACUGAAUACUAUCUUGCUCGAGGGUCGGAGGGGAGACUGGAAUUCUCGGUGUAGCAGUGAAAUGCGUAGAUAUCGAGAGGAACACCAGUGGCGAAGGCGAGUCUCUGGACGAUUCCUGACGCUGAGGCACGAAAGCUAGGGGAGCAAACAGGAUUAGAUACCCUGGUAGUCCUAGCCCUAAACGGUGCACAUUUGCUGUGAGCGGAAUCGACCCCGUUCGUGGCGUAGCUAACGCAUUAAAUGUGCCGCCUGGGAAGUACGGCCGCAAGGUUAAAACUCAAAGAAAUUGACGGGGGCCUGCACAAGCGGUGGAGUAUGUGGCUUAAUUCGAUUCAACGCGAAGAACCUUACCUGGCCUUGACAUGUAGGUAGUAGAAGGAUGAAAGUCUGACGAGGUAGCAAUACCAGCCUACACAGGUGCUGCAUGGCUGUCGUCAGCUCGUGUCGUGAGAUGUUGGGUUAAGUCCCGCAACGAGCGCAACCCUCGUGUCCUGUUGCAAUCCGAAUGAGAGUUCGGAGCACUCUGGACAGACUGCCUCAUUUAAAUGAGGAGGAAGGUGAGGAUGACGUCAAGUCAGGAUGGCCCUUACGGCCAGGGCUGCACACGUACUACAAUGCGCGGCACAAAGAGAAGCAAGACCGCAAGGUGGAGCAAAUCUCAAAAAACCGCGCCCAGUUCAGAUUGUCGGCUGCAACUCGCCGACAUGAAGCUGGAAUCGCUAGUAAUGGCGCAUCAGCUACGGCGCCGUGAAUACGUUCCCAGGCCUUGUACACACCGCCCGUCACAUCAUGAAAGCCGGUUGUACCCGAAGUCAGCGCGCCAACCGCAAGGAGGCAACUGCCGAAGGUAUGGCUGGUGAUUGGGAUGAAGUCGGAACAAGGUA